rnacentral:rRNA from 1 species
UACGUAGGGUGCGAGCGUUGUCCGGAAUUAUUGGGCGUAAAGAGCUUGUAGGCGGUUUGUCGCGUCUGCUGUGAAAAUCCGGGGCUCAACCCCGGACUUGCAGUGGGUACGGGCAGACUAGAGUGUGGUAGGGGAGACUGGAAUUCCUGGUGUAGCGGUGUAAAUGCGCAGGAUAAUCAGGAGGAACACCGAUGGCGAAGGCAGGUCUCUGGGCCAUAACUGACGCUGAGAAGCGAAAGCAUGGGGAGCGAACAGG